UACAACAGUUGAUGUCUCGAAACUCGAAAUAGGAAUGCGCACGCACCCCCUCCUGUCACGGGGGCUAUCGAGCCUCGAAACAAUGUAACAGGAGCGGAUCGUUUGUCGCGAACAGGUGACUCUCCCGUCACGAUACAGACGGCAUACAUACGUUUAGUUUUUAAACGCUAAGAAACAAAGCCUCCCCCGUCAAUAAACAAAACUGCCUAGCGGCAUGGUCGCCACGCCAGUGGAGAAUAAAGAGGGGCUUAUUAUAAGCGACGUUAAUUCUCGAAUAAAUAACCGCGGGCUUGCGCGAAGAUCGAGAAGAGAAAGAGGGUUGUUUUAAGAGUAAGAAGGAGAGAGAGAGAGAGAAAGAAGGUGAGUAAAGAUUGAACUUGGAAAGAACGAUGAAAGAGAAGGAAGAAAGGAAGGAAGGAAGGAAGAGAGGGAAGAAACGAAAAAGGGAUGAGAAUGUAGGUGGUUGAUUUAUUUCGGCGCCGCAAAGAUCUGGAUUCGCGUACGUGUCCCGUGCUUCAAAUUACCAACUUAUAAACUCUCUUCUUCUCUCUUUCUUUCUUCAGGAAACCCUCCCAUAGAUCAUUCCGUUGUACGAGGAGAAAAGCAAUAUGUGCCCAACUGUCGACACCUCUUCGAAUCGAGAGAAAUGUCAUCGAAAUAUCUCUUUACAAAUUUACAACCAUCUCGUACCUUCGCGGUCGAUAAAUCCUGCUGAUCAUCGCGAGUCCGUCUUUGAGGAUCGGACGAAUGGCACUCGACUGAUACCAAGCGGACAAACCCAAGCGAUGCUGGAAUCACCUCUUAAGAAUACACAUGCCCCAGCCCUUCGAUGAAGCAAGCGCUCUUUUGCCUCGGCAGCAUCGUUCCAGGGCGCAUACGCGAAUACACAUAAAAAUAUGCGGACUUGCGAGGCUGCACGAGUUCGCUGCAUAAUCAUGCAGUCGAUGAACGCGAGGGAGUUAACCAUGCGAGAAAGGAUAGGGCAGGGAAAAAGAAAUUUACGGGGAUCCGCAUCGAAAUAUGAAAUAAAUCGACAAAUAUCAGAGCGAUUUGGAAGCAUUCGACAAAUCGACAGAGAAAGAUACUCGAUAAGGGAGAUACACGAAGUUUCCAUUCGUCUUACCUUAGCGAAUCGGAGGUCUGCCCGCUGUCAAGAUAAAGGAUGUUUAGGACAGUUGGCUGAGUUCGACGAUCGAUGAACCUCUUCUUCCUGUCAAAACACCACAUACAACGGUUACCGUUCCUUUUAAGAGAUAUGGACAACUCUCAAGGGAAGAAAUUGUUGGACGAUGAAUCAAGAGUUGAAAAGGUGUCGAACGACGGCUGUCGGCCAUUAUUGAUAAAAGAAGCCGAUAUGGUCGAUAUACGAGCGUAACUCUUAUCGCGAAGAAGCCGGCGCGUGGAAGAAGAAACAUCCCUCGUAAAUAUAAAAGGUAUAAAAGCUACCCUUUUGAUGGAGUGCCCUCUUAAGGGUCAAACUGGUAUCGGCCAGUACGUUCACCGCAGGAUGACCAAGAAGAGGAUCGAGAAGAGAGGUCAACGGGUAUGCGAAGGGUAGGUCCUUGAAUCGUGCUUAACCACCCUUACUUUACGGUCUUCGUAUUUUGUUUAAAAUUUAUCCCAUAAAACACAGACACAUUGAUGCCAUUCGACUAAACGCGUAACUCUCGAACGUUAAAUUAACUUUAUUUUCGAUACUAUAUAAUCGAUUUCCAAUCAGGCAUAAUCUAUUAUUCCAUAAUAUAAUUU